rnacentral:rRNA from 1 species
GAUGAACGCUAGCGGCAGGCUUAACACAUGCAAGUCGAGGGGUAUAGUUCUUCGGAGCUAGAGACCGGCGCACGGGUGCGUAACGCGUAUGCAAUCUACCUUUUGCAGAGGGAUAGCCCAGAGAAAUUUGGAUUAACACCCCAUGGUACGUGAGAAUAGCAUCAUUUUCACAUUAAAGUAACAACGGCAAAAGAUGAGCAUGCGUCCCAUUAGCUAGUUGGUAAGGUAACGGCUUACCAAGGCAACGAUGGGUAGGGGUCCUGAGAGGGAGAUCCCCCACACUGGUACUGAGACACGGACCAGACUCCUACGGGAGGCAGCAGUGAGGAAUAUUGGACAAUGGGCGCAAGCCUGAUCCAGCCAUGCCGCGUGCAGGAUGACGGUCCUAUGGAUUGUAAACUGCUUUUGUACAGGAAGAAACACUGGUUCGUGAACCAGCUUGACGGUACUGUAAGAAUAAGGAUCGGCUAACUCCGUGCCAGCAGCCGCGGUAAUAC